rnacentral:misc_RNA from 1 species
AAGUCGUAACAAGGUUUCCGUAGGUGAACCUGCGGAAGGAUCAUUACUGGGUGCGGAUGGGAAGGGAAGGGAGGAGUGGUGCGCAAGUGCUGCUGUUUUCUUUGCUUUUCGUCCCAAGAAUGGAACCACCACGGCCGCGUGCGGUCGUGGUGGUUCUGUAGGCCCGUGUCUUGUGCAAAGUGUGUGUGUGGUUGUGGUUGGUUGCUUGAUUGCAGUUUGCCCCAGCUCACCUGCUUUUUUUCUUGUUUGGCGGGAGUUGGCAUGUCCGACACAUUUUCCUCCGACCAUCACUCUUUUGCGAUGGAAUGGGGAGAAGCCCGCCAAAGUUUCAACACACCGAAUGACGUUUUCCGACACUUUUGUAAUAACAACAACAUUUAAUACAACUGUUGGCAACGGAUCACUCGGCUCUC